UGUGUGGAGAACAUGACAGCAGGACCAAAGCUCAGAGGAUCCAUCAGAGACCAGGACCUGAACCUGCACCCAGCUGUGUGUCCAUGAAGAGUAACCGGUCUAUGAAUCCUCCUAUGAAAUUCAAAGAUAGUCCCUCUGUUGAUGCAAGGUCACAUCAGCAGAGAGGAAGGUCUCCUGAACCCAGAUGUUUGUCCAUG